CAGCGAGCCUCUGGAAAGUGCCCCGUGCAUGCGCACGUGGCCGCCGACGGUGUAACCCGGUCCGUCCCGUCGUGGAUGAUGCCGGGGAAGCUCUCAGGCUUCCGUGACAGAGGGGGCACC
rnacentral:ncRNA from 2 species